UAGGGAAUCUUCCACAAUGGGCGAAAGCCUGAUGGAGCAACGCCGCGUGUGUGAUGAAGGGUUUCGGCUACGUAAAACACUGUUGUAAGAGAAGAAUGACAUUGAGAGUAACUGUUCAAUGUGUGACGGUAUCUUACCAGAAAGGAACGGCUAAAUACGUGUCAG
rnacentral:rRNA from 1 species